rnacentral:rRNA from 1 species
AUACAGAGGGUGCGAGCGUUAAUCGGAAUUACUGGGCGUAAAGCGCGCGUAGGCGGCUUAUUAAGUCAGAUGUGAAAUCCCCGGGCUCAACCUGGGAACUGCAUCUGAUACUGGUAAGCUAGAGUUUUGGAGAGGGAAGUAGAAUUUCAGGUGUAGCGGUGAAAUGCAUAGAGAUCUGAAGGAAUACCAGUGGCGAAGGCGACUUCCUGGCCAAAAACUGACGCUGAGGUGCGAAAGCGUGGGUAGCAAACAGGAUUAGAAACCCUUGUAGUCC